rnacentral:rRNA from 1 species
UGGGGAAUAUUGGACAAUGGGCGCAAGCCUGAUCCAGCCAUGCCGCGUGAGUGAUGAAGGCCCUAGGGUUGUAAAGCUCUUUCCCCGGUGAAGAUAAUGACGGUAACCGGAGAAGAAGCCCCGGCUAACUUCGUGCCAGCAGCCGCGGUAAUACGAAGGGGGCUAGCGUUGUUCGGAUUUACUGGGCGUAAAGCGCACGUAGGCGGACUUUUAAGUCAGGGGUGAAAUCCCGGGGCUCAACCCCGGAACUGCCUUUGAUACUGGAAGUCUUGAGUAUGGUAGAGGUGAGUGGAAUUCCGAGUGGAGAGGUGAAAUUCGUAGAUAUUCGGAGGAACACCAGUGGCGAAGGCGGCUCACUGGACCAUUACUGACGCUGAGGUGCGAAAGCGUGGGGAGCAAACAGG